rnacentral:rRNA from 1 species
UACAGAGGCCACGAGCGUUAGGCGGAAUCACUGGGCUUAAAGCGUGUGUAGGUGGAUCGGUAAGUACCUUGUGAAAUCCCACGACUCAAUCGUGGAACUGCUUGGUAUACUGCCAGUCUUGAGGCACUCAGGGGCAAGCGGAACAGAUGGUGGAGCGGUGAAAUGCGUAGAUAUCGGAAGGAACAUCAGUGGCGAAAGCGACUUCCUGGACCAGUACCGACGUUCAGGCACGAAAGCGUGGGGAGCAAACAGG